CGCUAACAUCUACCAGUGACACUGGAACGAAAGCACUAGCUAACUACAGUACUUAUCACCAAGAAAAGAAGAAAAAGCAAUAGCUUGCUGCUAGCUUCUCAUGGCUCCUAUCGGAAGUAACACUCGGGCCUUGUGUUUGGUGGUUCUCCUGCUCAUGUCUACCACCUUCUUGUCCUGUCAUGCAUCAGGUACAGCAGGUGGGUGGACGAAGUUCUGCGUAGCCGAGAAAGCCUGCGCGCCAACGGCAGGACCCAAGGACGAUCAUGUGUGCAAGGCUGAUUGCGGACGCCAAGGUUACGACAAGGAUAAAAGCUAUUGCGCACCAGACCCUAGUGGCAUUUGCUGCUGCCAAAAGUAAUACAAGCCGUCAGUCUGAAGGAUCCAUUUAAUUUGGAUGGAGAUGAUAUGUUUUGUCCUGUGCUAGAAAGUUUUGGGCAGUGAAAGGGGAAUAAUUUUCUAUGCAUGCUGGGAUUUAGCUCAUGCAGAAACAAUCAAUAAACUAUAAUGGUUGUAUCCGAGAAAACAAAUACUGCACUUGUUGAGUUAUAUGUUUUUCCUACCCUUCCUCUCCAAAGAGCAAC